rnacentral:rRNA from 1 species
UACAGAGGUCUCAAGCGUUGUUCGGAUUCAUUGGGCGUAAAGGGCGUGUAGGUGGCGCCGUAAGUCGGGUGUGAAAUUUCGGAGCUUAACUCCGAAACUGCAUUCGAUACUGCGGUGCUUGAGGACUGGAGAGGAGACUGGAAUUCAUGGUGUAGCAGUGAAAUGCGUAGAGAUCAUGAGGAAGACCAGUGGCGAAGGCGGGUCUCUGGACAGUCCCUGACACUGAGACACGAAGGCCAGGGGAGCAAACGGG